rnacentral:rRNA from 1 species
GUGGGGAAUAUUGCACAAUGGGCGGAAGCCUGAUGCAGCGACGCCGCGUGUGUGAAGAAGGCCUUCGGGUUGUAAAGCACUUUCGGACGGAACGAAAUCGCGCGGAUUAAUAACCCGCGUGGAUGACGGUACCGUAAGAAGAAGCACCGGCUCACUACGUGCCAGCAGCCGCGGUAAUACGUAGGGUGCGAGCGUUAAUCGGAAUUACUGGGCGUAAAGUGUGCGCAGGCGGCUUGGCAAGUCGAGUGUGAAAUCCCCGGGCUUAACUUGGGAAUUGCGCUCGAAACUACCUGGCUUGAGUGUGGCAGAGGAAGGUGGAAUUCCACGUGUAGCGGUGAAAUGCGUAGAGAUGUGGAGGAACACCGAUGGCGAAGGCAGCCUUCUGGGCCAACACUGACGCUCAUGCACAAAAGCGUGGGGAGCAAA